AUUGAACGCUGGCGGCAGGCCUAACACAUGCAAGUCGAACGAGUGGCGGACGGGUGAGUAAUGUAUGGGAACCUGCCUGAUGGAGGGGGAUAACUACUCGAAACGGUAGCUAAUACCGCAUACCAUCAGAUGUGCCGAGAUGGGAUUAGCUUGUUGGUGGGGUAAAGGCUCACCAAGGCAACGAUCCAUAGCUGGUCUGAGAGGAUGACCAGCCACACUGGGACUGAGACACGGCCCAGACUCCUACGGGAGGCAGCAGUGGGGAAUAUUGGACAAUGGGCGAAAGCCUGAUGCAGCCAUGCCGCGUGUAUGAAGAAGGCCUUCGGGUUGUAAAGUACUUUCAGCAGGGAAGCGUUAUCCGCAGAAGAAGCACCGGCUAACUCCGUGCCAGCAGCCGCGGUAAUUC
rnacentral:rRNA from 1 species